CAGGCCAUCUGUCUGACCUGGACCCAUUCCAAACACUACGGCUUUGUUGGCAGAAUGGUCUUCCUGCUACAGAAGUUUUGUAAUCUGCUAAUUGACAGGGCAUCCUCCUUUGUGCGCGAGCACACGCUCUUUUUCCCUGUGUUCUCUGCCUCAUUGAGGACACGGCAUCCUUUCGAGAAGAACAGCAAUACGAUCUACUGGGGAAUUAUCCUCUACUUAGUUUACUCAUUAAGCAAUGAUUUUAUUAUUAUUAUCUCUUUGUAGUAUGAGACAGAUGGCAAAGAAAGAGUUUGCUUUAUUGAACAAGAUGCAUGGCAAAUCUCCAUGAAUGGUUAAUAUCUUCAGUAGUCAUUCUGUCUAAUAAGCAUCUUGGCUUUUGCACAGGGCCUGGUUCUACACUCAGCCCUUAGUUUAGGUUAAAUGUUCUCAACCCUCUCUCUGUACACAUGGCUGGGGGCAGAAGAAUCUUAGAGAAGGAAAUAGCAUUAAAAUUGUGCUGUUCUAGGGAGUUCCCUUGUGGUGGAUCAGGUUAAGGAUCCAGUGUGGUCACUGCAGUGGCUCAGGUCGCUGCUGUGGCGUGGGUUUGAUCCCCGGCCCUGGCUGCCAGCAAGGCCAAAACAGAAAUCAUGCCAUUGAUAUGUAUGGUUGUCCUCAUCUUGUGCAGUAACACUCAGUGAUCAAGCCCCGGCCAGACCCAUGUCCCUAAAGCACGUGCUCGUGUUGGGGGCCGUGCACGAGUGUGGAGCAAUAGCCUGCCUCUGGAGCCAAGCAGCCCCCUCAACCUGCAUCAUUACAGCACCCGUCACAAAGAAAGAUGAGAAUGAAAGAAGAUUUCUUCCCUACCUUUGAAAACUUCAAAGAAAUUGUUCCCAAUCUGGUUCUGAUGAUCCAUGUCUCAGGCCAAGCGCACGCAAAGGUUGGAAAUCUGCACACUGAUCGGAAAUAGUUUUGGGAAAGUCGGAUUUAAUCCCACGAGCCCAAUGAUCACUACCAAGAACGAUCAGGGAAAACCAAAGUCCACAGCAAAUUUUAAUUUGCCAACUGCAUAAAAUGUUCAAAAGAGCAGAGGUCUCAUUUACAUUCCUCCCUCUUAUAUGGGAUUUUCUUCCAUAUUAGUAAUUAAAGGGUGCAGGCUAUAGAGCGCAACCAUAUCCCAUAAUAGCCAUCGGGGACACACUAACAACUUCCUUGAAGUAACGCACACUAGGGUGUUUAUGGUUCAGUGUCACAUAGGCUCUCUUUGAUCUAAAUUAGGAUUCAUUGGCAAACUCACAAUAGGCUCCACAUGUACCCCUCUCAACCUCUUUCUUUUAAUCAUGGAAAUUAGAGAUGGAAAAUACCCAUUAAGUCACUUAGUCCACUUCCCUGCCAGGGUAAAAUUGUUGCCUGUGAUACAAGGGGAGGGCUCGGUCCAGCUUACAUUUAAAUGUCUCAGGGGAUAGGCGGCCUCCAGAUUUUAUAAUUUUCCUCUUCCCCUUAAAAUUUGGGGUGUGGGGGGAAUGCAAAGCAGAGGAAGAGAUUUCUUCCCCGCCUUAGGGGUUGGAGGUAAUGGGUGGUGGGUUGUGAAUGUGCUCACGUGGUGUCAGCUUUCCCGAAACCACGCCCCUUGCGACAGGGGUUCAACCCCUGUCGUCCCCCAGCAGGUUUUCCUCUUCAGCUCAAUGGAGCUUUUCACGGACUUUGCCUGUCCCCUCAAGUGAGCGAGCACCCAGGUCUGAUGAGGGAGCACGAGGCCCAGCAAAGGAGAAGCUUCGUCUGCUUUAGCUCCCGGGUUGGUUGAUGACUUCUUAACUGCACAGGCCCUCCCAGCUUAGCGUGCGAUGCGCCCUAUGAGGUGUGAGCACAGGGGUGGCGGCACUGCCAUCUUAUUCCAGGCGUUUUUCUUGUUGGAACAUUUGGCUUCUGAAAGAGGAGAGAUGCCUGCCGUCGCACGGUGAACCCUCUCCCUGACUGAUGUUCAGCUGCAAAAGCAAGACUCGGCGUCUGCCCGCAUCUUCCGCAUCACCGGAUCGCCAGGAAAGUGGGGAAAGUAGCGACCCCCACCCCCACCGCGGGCCAUGUCCCUGUGGGACCCCCUCUACCGGAGACGGCCCGGCAGUGGCUGAGAUGAGACCUAAAAAGGGAAAUGGUGACCCAGGAUGAGAGUCACGUUUUGGUCUGUUUCAGGGGCUCUCUUUCUGAUGGAGCUGCCAGACUGACCCUAGGGAACCCGCCUCUUUUACAUGAAAGACUAAAGCCUAGUGGAUUAAAGGCAGAGUUUUUUUCAGGAUUUCUGUCAGCAAACCUAAUCCUGGUUAGGGAGCUAUUUCACAUCUCAUGAACGUCGGAAAUAGUUCGGUUUCAGAGUUCACAUUGUGGCACGGUGGAAACGAAUCUGACUAGGAACCACGAGGUUGCGGGUCAAUCCCUGGCCUCGCUCAGUGGGUUAAGGAUCCGUCGAUGACGUGAGCUGUGGUGUAGGUCACAGACACGGCUCGGAUCCUGCGUUGCUGUGGCUGUGGUGUAGGCUGGCGGCUACAGCUCCGAUUCGACCCCUAGGCUGGGAACCUCCACAUGCUCCGGUGGGGCCCUAGAAAAGACAAAAAGAAAAGGAUUCCAUUUCUGCUGGUAAUCAGUGCCAGGCCACACUUAUUCCUCUGAACAUGGCCUUGAACUGUUUGGCAACAUGGGUAUGUGGAAUAACCCCAAACAUACAAAUUCUCAAAUAUAUGAUCAGCUAAAAUAACAGUAAAGGCAUUGAGGAAAAGCGUUCUCAUUCAGUUUCUCUUAUGUAUUCUGUUCACAACGUGUAGGCGUGUUCAGACGCUCUCAGUCCACAGAGGAUAUAAUGAGAACACAGGCCAAAAUGAUGGUUGGUAUAAAUAAAAAUGGAGGGGGGAGUUCCCACUGUGGCUCAGAGGAAAUGAAUCCAACUAGGAACCAUGAGGUUGCAGGUUCAAUCCCUGGCCUCACUCAGCGGGUUAAGGAUCUGGCGUUGCCGUGAGCUGUGGUGUAGUUUGCAGAUGUGGCUCGGACCCUGAGUUGCUGUGGCUGUGGUGUAGGCUGGUGACUGUAGCUCCCAUUUGACCCCUGGCCUGGGAACCUCCAUGUGCUG
rnacentral:lncRNA from 1 species